AGAAUGAACGCUGGCGGCGCGCCUAAUACAUGCAAGUCGAGCGAGAAGACGUAGCAAUACGUUUGUAAAGCGGCGAACAGGUGAGGAAUACAUGGGUAACCUACCCUCGAGUGGGGAAUAACUAGCCGAAAGGUUAGCUAAUACCGCGUACGCUCCUUGGACUUCGGUUCAGGGAGGAAAGCGAUACCGUGGGUAUCGCGCUCUUGGUUGGGCUCAUGUCCUAUCAGCUUGUUGGUGAGGUAACGGCUCACCAAGGCUUCGACGGGUAGCUGGCCUGAGAGGACGAUCAGCCACACUGGCACUGCGACACGGGCCAGACUCCUACGGGAGGCAGCAGUAAGGAAUAUUGCGCAAUGGGCGAAAGCCUGACGCAGCGACGCCGCGUGGGGGAUGAAGGUCUUCGGAUUGUAAACCCCUUUCGGAGGAAGAUGGAACGAGCAAUCGUUCGGACGGUACCUCAGAAGCAGCCACGGCUAACUUCGUGCCAGCAGCCGCGGUAA
rnacentral:rRNA from 1 species